rnacentral:snoRNA from 1 species
UCCAUUGAUGAUGACGACCUGAUCUCUUAUAUUAUUAGUGGUUUGAACACUGCGUAUACCCCAUUCAUCACCUCCUUCUCAUUUGCAACAAGAAACACCUCUCUUUCGUUCAAUGAGUUUCAAUC